rnacentral:lncRNA from 1 species
UGAAGAUCUCGGGAGAGGACGGGUCUCCUGCUCAGGGUGAAGAUCUCACGAGAGGAUGGGUCUCCUGUGUGGGGGGAAGAGCCACACACAGAGAAGCCCAGGACCCUGUGCAUAGAGCAACAGCUUUCAGAUGAUGAGCUUUAUUAACGGAGGCAUUCAUCAAUGCACAGAGGCAAACCCAGUGUCCUCAGUAUCCAGACCCUGAAAGCUGAAAGAAGGAAUGAAAAACCUGCCUCUGGAAGUGGCAUUGGCAAGGUAUGACCACAAGGAAAGCAGCAUGAGAUGCUCCACUUCCCUGCUUCAACCAUGCUGAGACCUGACUCAUUGCUGGACUAGAGAAAAUCAAG